rnacentral:rRNA from 1 species
UGAGGAAUAUUGCGCAAUGGGGGCAACCCUGACGCAGCGACGCCGCGUGAGUGAGGAAGGCCUUCGGGUCGUAAAGCUCUGUCAAAGGGAAAGAAGUGUGCAAUGGCUAAUACCUGUUGCAUUUGACGGUACCCUUAAAGGAAGCACCGGCUAACUCCGUGCCAGCAGCCGCGGUAAUACGUAGGGUGCGAGCGUUAAUCGGAAUUACUGGUCGUAAAGCGUGCGCAGGCGGUUGUAUAAGUCAGAUGUGAAAGCCCCGGGCUCAACCUGGGAACUGCAUUUGAGACUGUACGGCUAGAGUUUGGCAGAGGGGGGUGGAAGUCCACGUGUAGCAGUGAAAUGCGUAGAGAUGUGGAGGAACACCGAUGGCGAAGGCAGCCCCCUGGGCCAAUACUGACGCUCAUGCACGAAAGCGUGGGGAGCAAACA